AAAUCAGGUCUCCUUCACCAACAUUCAAAGGUAGUUUGAAGAUCAGACAGGUCAUAGGUCAAAAUGGUCAUAUUUAACUGUGUGUGCAUGCAUGUGUGUGUAGGUGUGUGUUCUGCCAUGGAUCAGUGUGAGGACAGAGAGGAGGGAGUCCGUCCCUCUGAAAGGACUCUGUGUGGAGAACAUGAGAACCAGACCACAGCUCAGAGCUCUGACUCUGAGUUUCCGUCCAGCUGUGAGUCCCUGAAGAGUGACGGGUCUAUGAAGGAACCCCUUCACUUUAAAUCAGGACCAGGACCUGCUGAUGAGGGCGUCAGCCAGCAGAGCUCCCAGGUUCUCCGUGGAGGCUCCGCCCCUCAGCAUCCAGCACAUCUGGACUCCAUCUUUGUGGUGAGAACAAGUCUCCAUUCAACACUUUACUGU